GAUGCAUCACUUUUAACAUUAUUUUUUUAUUUAAAGAAACUAAGUAGGAAGUAUUAAAAGCCUCUCAGUUCAGAUUUUAAUUUUUUUUUUAAGAAAAGGAAGAAAAUGAAAUCUAAAAGCAAAAUGGCUACUGAUGGAAUAGAAAUGAGGACAAUGUUCAGAUGCAUUACAGAAGGAUAGACAGGAGUUCAAGAGCACUAGUAAAAAUUCCGCUAAAGUACUUGGGUUGUGGAGUUUUUGGUAAAUAGCGUUUAUUAGUCAGACAAAAUAUCCAGGUUAUUUUCUUCCAGUUCGGAGGAUGUGGAGGAAAGCAGUCUUGGAUCAUCUUACAGAUGUGCUGUAUGAAGGAGAGUAUAUUUUCUCAGGGGACCUCCUUUACAAAUCUGAGCAGGAAAUGACACUUGCACACCAGGACAUCAUCAUUAAUCCACUGUGCUAGAUGUUGUAGGAUGCUCACUCUCCCGAUAGAAUCUGAAACUCCUGCAGCUCUCUCCUAAUGCUUCUUAGAUUGUAUCUGAAUUGUGGGACAGGCACAUACCACAGUCCACCCUGGUCACUGUGGACAAUCAGUCAUUCAGAUCAGGGCAUUGACUGGAGCAGACUGUGUGCUCAGCAGUAUAAUUUCAGAGGCUGUGGGAGGUUGGUGCUAAGGUAAGUGUUGGCUCUGUAGAAACAGGACAAAAUUUCAUAGUCUCCUGGAUUUACGAACUUGAAUGCUUUGAAGUUACUCAUAAG
rnacentral:lncRNA from 1 species